rnacentral:rRNA from 1 species
AAACCAACAGGGAUUGCCUCAGUAACGGCGAGUGAAGCGGCAAAAGCUCAAAUUUGAAACCCUCGGGAUUGUAAUUUGAAGAUUUGGCAUUGGAGAAAGCUAACCCAAGUUGCUUGGAAUAGUACGUCAUAGAGGGUGACAACCCCGUCUGGCUAACCGUUCUCCAUGUAUUGCCUUAUCAAAGAGUCGAGUUGUUUGGGAAUGCAGCUCAAAGUGGGUGGUAAACUCCAUCUAAAGCUAAAUACUGGUGAGAGACCGAUAGCGAACAAGUACUGUGAAGGAAAGGUGAAAAGAACUUUGAAAAGAGAGUGAAAUAGUAUGUGAAAUUGUUGAUAGGGAAGGAAAUGAGUGGAGAGUGGCCGAGGUUUCAGCCGCCCCUCGUGGGCGGUGUACUGCCGACGCCGAGUCAUCGAUAGCGAGACGAGGGUUACAAAUGGAAGCGCCUUCGGGCGUUCUCCCCUAACCCUCCACACUGCCACCGACGACAUAAUCCACC